rnacentral:tRNA from 1 species
GGAUCCGUGGCUUAGCCUGGAUAGAACGACGUUCGGUACGAACCCUGUAUCUAGAGCGGCGGCCUUCUAAGUCGCAGGUCGGGGGUUCAAAUCCCCUCGGAUCCGCCA